rnacentral:rRNA from 1 species
GCUUGUCUCAAAGAUUAAGCCAUGCAUGUCUAAGUAUAAACAAAUCUAUACGUGAAACUGCGAAUGGCUCAUUAUAUCAGUUAUAGUUUAUUUGAUGGUUCUUGCUACUUGGAUAACCGUAGUAAUUCUAGAGCUAAUACAUGCGUCAAACCUCGACUUCUGGGAGAGGUGUAUUUAUUAGAUGGAAACCAAUGCGGGGCAACCCGGUAUAUGGUGAUUCAUAAUAACUUUCGGAUCGAUCUUCGGAUCGAUGCAUCAUUCAAAUUUCUGCCCUAUCAACUUUCGAUGGUAAGGUAUUGGCUUACCAUGGUUGCAACGGGUAACGGAGAAUUAGGGUUCGAUUCCGGAGAGGGCGCCUGAGAAAUGGCGACCACAUCCAAGGAAGGCAGCAGG